rnacentral:rRNA from 1 species
GACGAACCGUGCGAACGUUGUUCGGAAUCACUGGGCUUAAAGGGCGCGUAGGCGGGCUGCCAAGUCUGUGGUGAAAUCCUCCAGCUUAACUGGAGAACGGCCGUGGAUACUGGCGGUCUCGAGGGAGAUAGGGGUAUGCGGAACUGUGCGUGGAGCGGUGAAAUGCGUUGAUAUGCACAGGAACUCCGGUGGCGAAGGCGGCAUACUGGAUCUCUUCUGACGCUGAGGCGCGAAAGCUAGGGUAGCGAACGGG